CGACUGUGCCCACCUGCCGCCUGGCCCCAGGGUGGCCCUGGCACCCGGUCGUCACCCUGCGCAGGCCGACAGACCCGGUCCCCGCCAGGAAGAGCCCCAGGACCGCUCCCCAGCCUGGCGGGCAUUUCCUCCAGCUUGUUUAUGGGCCUGCAGGGCGGCAAAGAUGGGUCGGAAAUGUCUGACGGGCCCAGGGCGGGCGCGGCCGUGACGGAUGCCCCCCCCACCCCCGCCGACGCUCCGGUGCUGCCCCGGGCCAGGAAGGCCCAGGAAGGCCCAGGAAGGCCCAGGACGGGACUGCUCAGGCGGGCCCUUCCCAGCUGCUCUGCAGACGCCGAGGGACGGACAGGCCGGGAGCAGCCGCCCGGUGUGUCCAGGGGAAGCGGGACAGGCCUCCUGGGCGCUGCUGCCACGACCGGGACGCGGGGGGUCCACAGACACGUAAGAACCGCCUGGAGACACGCCGCCCCGCCGCCUCCUGCUCCUCUCACUCGGCCGCAGCUACGGUCACAGCUGUGCUCUGAGCGGCAGCGGCAGGCGACCUGGGUCGGCAGGCGGACGCCCCCGGGCUCACACUCGCGGGGCCCCGGCAGGCGGCUCACACGCACACGUGCCCGGCCACCCGCCCUCCGCACACUCGGCUCAGGCGGUGCCAGGACGUCCGGGAGCCUCACAGGGAGGCUGCUUACAGGACGGGGGCCACUCGUGCAAACUGCAGGGGGGCCCAGGACCGCAGACAGGGGACACCCAGUGAUGCGCAAGCAGGUCUUCAGCAAGGGCCGUGCCCCAGACAUGAGACCCAGGGGUCCCGGGAGGCCCCGCGUGACACACGAGGGACAUGGAUCCUGGGGUUGCUCCUGGCGCCCAAUGGCUGCUUUCCUGGGAGCCACCUGCCCGCCAGCCCCAGACGCCGGCUGCGCUGACAACGAUGUGCUCAGGACGUGCUUUUGCAGAGAAGGGACGAGGAGCAAACAGAAGCUGCAGCCCCCACGAGCUCGGCUACACCCGAGUUGGCGGCGGCCGACGUCCAGGUCCUCCGAGGCCCGGCACAGCGCCCACCCGCGGAGCGUGCAGCCACCCGCACCCGAGGGCACACGGAGGUCGCCCAGGAGCCCCCCGCCAGCACACCAGGGCCCUGGAGCACCGCCCGUUCCCGUUUUCCCAACUACCCAACGCUUAUUUCCCUGGCUGCUGGGUUUAUUCACGCGAUCUCUCUCCACCACAUAUGAGCACGUAGUGCAUGAUGCAUCCUAAAUGCCCCCAAAAAGCAAAGGAGCCCUGAAUCUGGGCCCAGGUGGGGACACACACUACUCCAUGUGCGUGCAAAUAUGCGCUGGAACGCGACGGCCCGCAAAGCAGAGACGGUGUCUCUUCACCCAACCAGGGGGCUCCGGUCAGGGCCUCUCCGGGGCAGGGACGCGUCCUCACUGGGGGCUUGGGGGAACGGCCCCAAAGGCACAGGGGCAGGUGGACCACAGCCAGGAACCGAGGGGCGGGAGGCAUACGGUGCGUCUGACCCCGCAUGGCCCACACGGCUCGAGGCCGC
rnacentral:lncRNA from 1 species